rnacentral:rRNA from 1 species
GACGGAGGGUGCAAGCGUUGUUCGGAUUGACUGGGCGUAAAGGGCUCGUAGGCGGUUUGUCGCGUCGGGAGUGAAAACCUUGGGCUUAACUCAGGGCUUGCUUUCGAUACGGGCAGACUAGAGGUAUGCAGGGGAGAACGGAAUUCCUGGUGUAGCGGUGAAAUGCGCAGAUAUCAGGAGGAACACCGGUGGCGAAGGCGGUUCUCUGGGCAGUUGCUGACACUGAGGCGCGACAGCGUGGGGGAGCAAACAGG